UUAAAUUUAGAAACAAAUAUUUUCAACGUCUUUAAAAGGAUAGACGGUCAGAAAAGUCUUCCGCCAUUACCCUCUGCAGGUCAUGAAAGGAUAGCACGUUCCCUUUGUUAUGUUGUAUGCAACUGAAUUCAUUCUGUUUCCAAGCCACCUCAGCAGGUAUUGAAUUCUAUUCAAAGCAGAUUUGAGGAGACUGAGAUGUCCAAAUCCAACUUCAAGAGCUACACGUCAUUUGACCUUUCACGUAGACAAGAUUUUCCUUAGUUCUCACAAUUUUUCUCCCGAGCUCGUUUAAUAACAUGUUUAUCUAUAUACUAAAAUUUCAAAUUCAAAAAUUUAUAUAUCUAUGUACGUAAACAUUUACUAUAUAAGUGUAUUGAUUGAUAUGCAUUAUCCAUGUUACUAAGUAUGUAUUAAUCUAUAUUUUGUUACGCAUAUAUUUCUCUACCUACCUUAUAAUUAGUUUAUUUGGGUUCAUAUAUCUAACUCGUAAUUGAAUUUCCCUCGUAGAAAGAACAAAAAUUAAAAAAUUUAUUCUUAACCUCGAUAAUUCUGUUGUAGCCAAACGUUAAGUUAAAUAACUAGCAUAGCAUUUGUAUCUCUAUACCUAUUUCUUUAUUUACCUUAAUAAAAAUGUCUUUAUUCAUCUA